AUGGUCAGUAAUGAAAGUUGCAGCCCGGUGGGCCAUUGAGAAAGACGGAGUGCCCAGUGACCAUUAUCCUUGCAAGGAUAGAGAAUGAGCAAAACAGCCAUAGAGUUGGAAGUUACUCCAAUCACUUAAAUUACUUACUGCCUUGAGAGUCUUUUAAAUGGAGGGAGAAGGCUGGGAGGGAGGAGACAGGGAAGUGAGAAGAGGUGUUGCAUUCAUGCACCCACGCCCCGCGAGGAAGGCAGUCAUGUACACGCACACACUCGCUAAUAAAACACAAGCCCGUUUAAAGAGGAAAUACCUCAUAAUGGAAAGAAAGAAGAUCCCCCGCAGGGUGGGGAUGGGCAGCACAGUGCAGCUCUCUGGGAUUCAGAAUCCAGCUGCUGGAAAACAACAACUUACUGAAGCAAAGAAUAGAAGCAGAGCACCAGGAACUGGAGAGGAACUGACAGAAAAAAUUAGAAGCUACAGAGAAGCUGGAAAGACACCCCAAGGAAGUGACCUGAUUCUCCCCUCAGAGCUUGUGUUGGGGGGAACCAGCCCGCCCCAAACAAGGCGCUGUUUAGGGAAGGGGUUGAUUAUUUAAGCCCGGG
rnacentral:lncRNA from 1 species